rnacentral:rRNA from 1 species
CCACGGGUCUUGGCCAUAAGCUCUGCCUGUGGAUUCAUAUUUGUUGUUAGAAGUGACUUUACAUCAGCACUCAUAAUAUUAUUCCUUUUUGUUUAAUUUGUUGUUAUCAGACUUUAUUACUUCUUAAUGCCAGCGAGUGUCUUGAAUCUCUCUGCCAUUUGGUUUCCACCAGCAACAAUUGGUUGUGAUGGUUUUGUACUUGCAACUGCCUUACUUGCCAAACCUUCGGUGAUAGUAGUUGCAGUUGUAUUCUUCUUCUUAACAACUGAUCCACCCAAAUUAAACGAUUCGGCCAUAAUAGCAUAGGUUAAUUUAACCUCACGUACACUCGUAGUGAGAUCAAAGUUUUCGACAACCUUCAUCUUUUGUUCAUUGUUCAAGUUAAAUUGCUUGAACAACUUGUUGGUAUAAAGCAACUUGGCAUUCAACAAGUUAACUUCAUUGAUUUGGCUGCGCAAAAUUUCAACGGUCUUCAUUGCUUCGUCACGUUGUGCGGUGACUUCUGCAAUUUGUUCCUCAUAAACGGACUCAUCCUUUUCAGGGUCGCCGUCUCUCUUUUCAUCGUCAUCAUCAUCUUUCUUGGCUUCACUUAGACCCUCUUCGGAUUCAAGUGGCAGAGAUGUCAUGUCCGCAAGGGCUCUAUACAGGUGGUGCAUGGUUGUCGUCAGCUCGUGUCGUGAGAUGUUGGGUUAAGUCCCGCAACGAGCGCAACCCUCGUUCUGUGUUGCCAGCAUUUAGUUGGGGACUCACAGGAGACUGCCGGGGUUAACUCGGAGGAAGGUGGGGAUGACGUCAAAUCAUCAUGCCCCUUAUGUCUUGGGCUGCACGCAUGCUACAAUGGCCGGUACAGAGGGCUGCAAUACCGUAAGGUGGAGCGAAUCCCAAAAAGCCGGUCUCAGUUCGGAUUGAGGUCUGCAACUCGACCUCAUGAAGUUGGAGUUGCUAGUAAUCGUAGAUCAGCAACGCUACGGUGAAUACGUUCCCGGGGCUUGUACACACCGCCCGUCACGUCACGAAAGUCGGUAACACCCAAAGUCAGUGGCCCAACCGCAAGGGGGGAGCUGCCUAAGGUGGGAUCGGUGAUUGGGACGAAGUCGUAACAAGGUAGCCGUACCGGAAGGUGCGGCUG